rfam:Puccinia sorghi strain RO10H11247 Scaffold_2113, whole genome shotgun sequence.
GACUCCAUGGCGCAAUGGUAGCGCGUUCGACUCCAGUGAGGCCUUCGUCUUGUGUAAUCGAAAGGUUGCGUGUUCAAGUCACGUUGGGGUCA